AAAGAUCGCAGCCUGCGGCAGCUCCUACAGGGGAUUGGGUUUUCCUGUAGAAGCUGCCGCAGGCUGCGAUCUUU
rnacentral:antisense_RNA from 1 species